rnacentral:rRNA from 1 species
UACAGAGGGUGCGAGCGUUAAUCGGAAUUACUGGGCGUAAAGCGCACGUAGGUGGCGACGUAAGUCGGGUGUGAAAUCCCCGGGCUCAACCCGGGAACUGCGUCCGAUACUGGGAGGCUUGAAUCCGGGAGAGGGAUGUGGAAUUCCAGGUGUAGCGGUGAAAUGCGUAGAUAUCAGGAGGAACACCAGUGGCGAAGGCGGUGCUCUGGGCCGGAACUGACGCUGAGGAGCGAAAGCGUGGGGAGCAAACAGG